UUAGUGGGGUAUUUGCAAAUUUAUAAAAAUAAUCAGUAAAAACAUCAUACUCUCUGUCGCCAUCAACUUCUUCAACUGGCACACCAUCACAGAUUUCUUUCAAAUCAUCUUGUCUCAACUUCACAGCCAAUGAUCCAAUGUUACUUUCAAGGUUUUUAAUCUUAUU